rnacentral:lncRNA from 1 species
AGGAAUCUGAACAAGAGGAUACAAGAGCAUAUGUCUAGCAUUAAGGAGGGUAGGAUGGAUACUGCGCUAAGUAUAAAGGCUUAUGAACACGAUAUUGACAUCAAAUGGAACCAGGCGAGUGUAGUGAAACCAAUUCGUGAUCUUACUGGCAUAAGUAUACUGGAAGCCAUACGAAUAGAAAAACGAAAGUCACUAGUUAAUAUUAUUAACGAUAACGAGCCGACUUUGCUACUGUCGUCAUGGAAAUGGUGUGCCCGUCAUGCCAUAUAGACUAUCUUACCAGGUUUACCAUACUGAACAUACCUGGUGUGUACUACCAUGCUUACUAUACAUGGUACGGAGAUUACGAUUUAAUGGCGUUGACGU